GUUUGUUAAGUCAGAUGUGAAAUCCCCGGGCUCAACCUGGGAACUGCAUCUGAUACUGGCAAGCUUGAGUCUCGUAGAGGGGGGUAGAAUUCCAGGUGUAGCGGUGAAAUGCGUAGAGAUCUGGAGGAAUACCGGUGGCGAAGGCGGCCCCCUGGACGAAGACUGACGCUCAGGUGCGAAAGCGUGGGGAGCAAACAGGAUUAGAUACCCUGGUAGUCCACGCCGUAAACGAUGUCGACUUGGAGGUUGUGCCCUUGAGGCGUGGCUUCCGGAGCUAACGCGUUAAGUCGACCGCCUGGGGAGUACGGCCGCAAGGUUAAAACUCAAAUGAAUUGACGGGGGCCCGCACAAGCGGUGGAGCAUGUGGUUUAAUUCGAUGCAACGCGAAGAACCUUACCUGGUCUUGACAUCCACGGAAGUUUUCAGAGAUGAGAAUGUGCCUUCGGGAACCGUGAGACAGGUGCUGCAUGGCUGUCGUCAGCUCGUGUUGUGAAAUGUUGGGUUAAGUCCCGCAACGAGCGCAACCCUUAUCCUUUGUUGCCAGCGGUCCGGCCGGGAACUCAAAGGAGACUGCCAGUGAUAAACUGGAGGAAGGUGGGGAUGACGUCAAGUCAUCAUGGCCCUUACGACCAGGGCUACACACGUGCUACAAUGGCGCAUACAAAGAGAAGCGACCUCGCGAGAGCAAGCGGACCUCAUAAAGUGCGUCGUAGUCCGGAUUGGAGUCUGCAACUCGACUCCAUGAAGUCGGAAUCGCUAGUAAUCGUGGAUCAGAAUGCCACGGUGAAUACGUUCCCGGGCCUUGUACACACCGCCCGUCACACCAUGGGAGUGGGUUGCAAAAGAAGUAGGUAGCUUAACCUUCGGGAGGGCGCUUACCACUUUGUGAUUCAUGACUGGGGUGAAGUCGUAACAAGGUAACCGUAGGGGAACCUGCGGUUGGAUCACCUCCUUACCUUAAAGAAGC
rnacentral:rRNA from 1 species